UACGUAGGGUGCGAGCGUUAAUCGGAAUUACUGGGCGUAAAGCGUGCGCAGGCGGUGAGCUGUGUCCGAUGUGAAAGCCCCGGGCUUAACCUGGGAAUGCAUUGGAAACUGGCUCGCUGGAGUGUGGCAGAGGGGGGUGGAAUUCCGCGUGUAGCAGUGAAGUGCGUAGAGAUGCGGAGGAACACCGAUGGCGAAGGCAGCCCCCUGGGCUAACACUGACGCUCAGGCACGAAAGCGUGGGGAGCAAACAGG
rnacentral:rRNA from 1 species